GACGAACGCUGGCGGCGUGCUUAACACAUGCAAGUCGAACGGAAAGGCUCCAGCUUGCUGGAGUACUCGAGUGGCGAACGGGUGAGUAACACGUGGGUAAUCUGCCCUGCACUCUGGGAUAAGCCUGGGAAGCUGGGUCUAAUACUGGAUAUGACCUUUCUCCUUAUGGGGUUUGGUGGAAAGUUUUUCGGUGUAGGAUGAGCCCGCGGCCUAUCAGCUUGUUGGUGGGGUGAUGGCCUACCAAGGCGACGACGGGUAGCCGGCCUGAGAGGGUGAUCGGCCACAUUGGGACUGAGAUACGGCCCAGACUCCUACGGGAGGCAGCAGUGGGGAAUAUUGCACAAUGGGCGGAAGCCUGAUGCAGCGACGCCGCGUGAGGGAUGACGGCCUUCGGGUUGUAAACCUCUUUCAGCAGGGACGAAGCGUAAGUGACGGUACCUGCAGAAGAAGCACCGGCUAACUACGUG
rnacentral:rRNA from 1 species